rnacentral:rRNA from 1 species
GGAAAAUGGCGCGGCUACCAUGCAGUCGAGCGGCAGCGGGAAAGUAGCUUGCUACUUUUGCCGGCGAGCGGCGGACGGGUGAGUAAUGCCUGGGGAUCUGCCCAGUCGAGGGGGAUAACUACUGGAAACGGUAGCUAAUACCGCAUACGCCCUACGGGGGAAAGCAGGGGACCUUCGGGCCUUGCGCGAUUGGAUGAACCCAGGUGGGAUUAGCUAGUUGGUGAGGUAAUGGCUCACCAAGGCGACGAUCCCUAGCUGGUCUGAGAGGAUGAUCAGCCACACUGGAACUGAGACACGGUCCAGACUCCUACGGGAGGCAGCAGUGGGGAAUAUUGCACAAUGGGGGAAACCCUGAUGCAGCCAUGCCGCGUGUGUGAAGAAGGCCUUCGGGUUGUAAAGCACUUUCAGCGAGGAGGAAAGGUUGGUAGCUAAUAACUGCCAGCUGUGACGUUACUCGCAGAAGAAGCACCGGCUAACUCCGUGCCAGCAGCCGCGGGUAAUACGGAGGGUGCAAGCGUUAAUCGGAAUUACUGGGCGUAAAGCGCACGCAGGCGGUUGGAUAAGUUAGAUGUGAAAGCCCCGGGCUCAACCUGGGAAUUGCAUUUAAAACUGUCCAGCUAGAGUCUUGUAGAGGGGGGUAGAAUUCCAGUGUAGCGGGUGAAAUGCGUAGAGAUCUGGAGGAAUACCGGUGGCGAAAGGCGGCCCCCUGGGACAAGACUGACGCUCAGUGCGAAAGCGUGGGGGGAGCAAAGCAGGAUUAGAUACCCUGGGUAGUCCCACGCCGUAACGAUGUCGAUUUGGGAGGCUGUGUCCCUUGAGACGUGGCUUUCCCGGAGCUAACGCGUUUAAAUCGACCGCCCUGGGGGAGUACGGCCGCAAGGUUAAGACUCAAUGAACUUGACGGGGGCCGCCACAAGCCGGUGGGAGCAUGGUGGAUUGAUUCCGAAUGCAACGCGUAGAAUCCUUACCUGACCAUGACAUGUUCUGGCAACUCCAGCUAAGGAU